GGGGUUGUGGCUCAGCAGUAGAACGCUCACCUAACAUGUGUGAAGCCCUGGGUUUGGUUCUCAGCACCACCA
rnacentral:tRNA from 1 species